rnacentral:lncRNA from 1 species
ACAAGAAAUAAAUUUAAUAUCACACACAAGAAAUAAGUUAACCCCUCACAAGAAACACAAGAACCCUCACAAGAAACACAAGAAAAAUAAAUUUAAUAUCACACACAAGAAAUAAGUUAACCCCUCAUAAGAAACACAAGAGCGGUGCUCUGACCAAUUGAACUACAAUCCCCGCGGGGCGGGGCGUAUCGCAUACUUAUUCUUAAAUGGAACCAUAAGAAGAUUCGCCUGUCCUAUUCUAAGAAAUAGACGAAUCAUAUACUACAUAACCCCGUAUUUAGUAUAUGCAUAGCGGCGAAAAGGAGCCUUGGAAUGGUCUUAACUGAAUAUUCAGACAAAAAAAAAGAAGACAGUUAUGAGUUUGAUUGAGUUUCCCCUACUUAACCAAACAAGUUCCAUGGUCAAUCUUCAUCUCUUUUUCCAAUCUCCAUCUCUUUUUCCAUGGUGUUUAUGGCGGUCAAUCUCCAUCUCUUUUUCCAUGGUGUUUAUGGCGGUCAAUCUCC